rnacentral:rRNA from 1 species
AGGAUGAACGCUGGCGGCGUGCUUAACACAUGCAAGUCGAGCGAAGCGCUUAAGUUUGAUUCUUCGGAUGAAGACUUUUGUGACUGAGCGGCGGACGGGUGAGUAACGCGUGGGUAACCUGCCUCAUACAGGGGGAUAACAGUUAGAAAUGACUGCUAAUACCGCAUAAGACCACGGUACCGCAUGGUACAGUGGUAAAAACUCCGGUGGUAUGAGAUGGACCCGCGUCUGAUUAGGUAGUUGGUGGGGUAACGGCCUACCAAGCCGACGAUCAGUAGCCGACCUGAGAGGGUGACCGGCCACAUUGGGACUGAGACACGGCCCAGACUCCUACGGGAGGCAGCAGUGGGGAAUAUUGCACAAUGGAGGAAACUCUGAUGCAGCGACGCCGCGUGAAGGAUGAAGUAUUUCGGUAUGUAAACUUCUAUCAGCAGGGAAGAAAAUGACGGUACCUGACUAAGAAGCCCCGGCUAACUACGUGCCAGCAGCCGCGGUAAUACGUAGGGGGCAAGCGUUAUCCG